CACUCCUACGGGAGGCAGCAGUGGGGAAUCUUGCGCAAUGGGCGAAAGCCUGACGCAGCCAUGCCGCGUGAAUGAUGAAGGUCUUAGGAUUGUAAAAUUCUUUCACCGGGGACGAUAAUGACGGUACCCGGAGAAGAAGCCCCGGCUAACUUCGUGCCAGCAGCCGCGGUAAUACGAAGGGGGCUAGCGUUGCUCGGAAUUACUGGGCGUAAAGGGAGCGUAGGCGGACAUUUAAGUCAGGGGUGAAAUCCCGGGGCUCAACCUCGGAAUUGCCUUUGAUACUGGGUGUCUUGAGUAUGAGAGAGGUGUGUGGAACUCCGAGUGUAGAGGUGAAAUUCGUAGAUAUUCGGAAGAACACCAGUGGCGAAGGCGACACACUGGCUCAUUACUGACGCUGAGGCUCGAAAGCGUGGGGAGCAAACAGGAUUAGAAACCCCAGUAGUCCCAUG
rnacentral:rRNA from 1 species